CGGCGGACGGGUGAGUAACACGUGGAUAACCUACCUAUAAGACUGGGAUAACUUCGGGAAACCGGAGCUAAUACCGGAUAAUAUAUUGAACCGCAUGGUUCAAUAGUGAAAGACGGUUUUGCUGUCACUUAUAGAUAGAUCCGCGCCGCAUUAGCUAGUUGGUAAGGUAACGGCUUACCAAGGCAACGAUGCGUAGCCGACCUGAGAGGGUGAUCGGCCACACUGGAACUGAGACACGGUCCAGACUCCUACGGGAGGCAGCAGGG
rnacentral:rRNA from 1 species